GUCCCUGUAGCUCAGUUGGAUAGAGCACCUGCCUUCUAAGCAGGGGGUCGCCUGUUCAAGUCAGGCCAGGGACGCCA
rnacentral:tRNA from 1 species